rnacentral:rRNA from 1 species
AGGGAAUAUUGCGCAAUGGGCGAAAGCCUGACGCAGCGACGCCGCGUGAGUGAUGAAGGCCUUAGGGUCGUAAAGCUCUGUUGAAUGGGAAGAAAAAAAUGACGGUACCAUUCGAGAAAGGACCGGCUAGCUUCGUGCCAGCAGCCGCGGUAAGACGAGGGGUCCUAGCGUUGUUCGGAAUCAUUGGGCGUAAAGCGUAUGUAGGUGGCCUUAUAAGUCAGGUGUGAAAGCCCCGGGCUCAACCCGGGAAGUGCAUUUGAUACUGUUUGGCUUGAGUACCGAAGAGGAUAGUGGAAUUCCAGGUGUAGUGGUGAAAUACGUAGAUAUCUGGAGGAACACCGGUGGCGAAGGCGGCUAUCUGGUCGAGUACUGACACUGAGAUACGAAAGCGUGGGGGUCAAAC